CGGGAUACCCCAAAACGAGGCUUCGGCCAAGCGGAGGGACUAUCUAGUGGCGGACGGGUGAGUAACGCGUGAGCAACCUGGCCUUCGGAGGGGGACAACAGCUGGAAACGGCUGCUAAUACCGCAUGAUAUAUAGGUGGGGCAUCCCACGUAUAUCAAAGAUUUAUCGCCGAAGGAUGGGCUCGCGUCUGAUUAGCUAGUUGGUAAGGUAAUGGCUUACCAAGGCAACGAUCAGUAGCCGGACUGAGAGGUCGAACGGCCACAUUGGGACUGAGAUACGGCCCAGACUCCUACGGGAGGCAGCAGUGGGGAAUAUUGGGCAAUGGGCGAAAGCCUGACCCAGCAACGCCGCGUGAAGGAAGAAGGCUUUCGGGUUGUAAACUUCUUUGACGAGGGACGAAAAAAAUGACGGUACCCCGAAAACAAGCCACGGCUAACUACGUGCCAGCAGCCGCGGUAAUACGUAGGUGGCAAGCGUUGUCCGGAUUUACUGGGUGUAAAGGGCGCGUAGGCGGGACAACAAGUCUGGCGUGAAAUCUAGGGGCUUAACCCCUAAACUGCGUUGGAAACUGUAGUUCUUGAGUGAUGGAGAGGCAGGCGGAAUUCCUAGUGUAGCGGUGAAAUGCGUAGAUAUUA
rnacentral:rRNA from 1 species